rnacentral:rRNA from 1 species
UACGUAGGGGGCGAGCGUUGUCCGGAUUCAUUGGGCGUAAAGAGCUCGUAGGCGGCUGUUCAAGUCGAUUGUGAAAACUCGGAGCUCAACUCCGAGCCUGCGUUCGAUACUGGCGAUCUCGAGUUCGGGAGAGGUGAGUGGAACUGCGAGUGUAGAGGUGAAAUUCGUAGAUAUUCGCAAGAACACCAGUGGCGAAGGCGGCUCACUGGCCCGGUACUGACGCUGAGGCACGAAAGCGUGGGGAGCAAACAGG